UGAGGAAUAUUGGUCAAUGGGCGCAAGCCUGAACCAGCCAUCCCGCGUGCAGGAAGACGGCGCUAUGCGUUGUAAACUGCUUUUCCAGGGGGAGAAACUUGCGCACGUGUUGCGCAAUUGACGGUACCCUGGGAAUAAGCAUCGGCUAACUCCGUGCCAGCAGCCGCGGUAAUACGGAGGAUGCGAGCGUUAUCCGGAUUCAUUGGGGUUAAAGGGUGCGUAGGCGGACUAUUAAGUCAGUGGUGAAAUCCUGCAGCUUAACUGCAGAACUGCCAUUGAUACUGAUAGACUUGAGUUUGGUUAAGGUAGGCGGAAUGUGUAAUGUAGCGGUGAAAUGCUUAGAUAUUACACAGAACACCAAUUGCGUAGGCAGCUUACUGAGCCGACACUGACGCUGAGGCACGAAAGCGUGGGGAUCGAACAG
rnacentral:rRNA from 1 species